rnacentral:rRNA from 1 species
UCGGGAAUUUUGGGCAAUGGGGGAAACCCUGACCCAGCAACGCCGCGUGAAGGAUGAAGUAUUUCGGUAUGUAAACUUCGAAAGAAUAGGAAGAAUAAAUGACGGUACUAUUUAUAAGGUCCGGCUAACUACGUGCCAGCAGCCGCGGUAAUACGUAGGGACCAAGCGUUGUUCGGAUUUACUGGGCGUAAAGGGCGCGUAGGCGGCAUGACAAGUCACUUGUGAAAUCUCUGGGCUUAACCCAGAACGGCCAAGUGAUACUGUCGCGCUAGAGUGCAGAAGGGGCAAUCGGAAUUCUUGGUGUAGCGGUGAAAUGCGUAGAUAUCAAGAGGAACACCUGAGGUGAAGACGGGUUGCUGGGCUGACACUGACGCUGAGGCGCGAAAGCCAGGGGAGCAAACGGGAUUAGAUACCCUCGUAGUCCCUGAGCGGGCUGGCAAGGCGCAU